GUGAUCUGAGUCCCAAUGGGUCAUGUGAUUUCUGUAACUCAUGUAAUAGGUCCCAAUGGGUCAUGUGAUUUCUGUAACUCAUGUAAUAGGUCCCAAUGGGUCAUGUGAUUUCUGUAACUCAUGUAAUAGGUCCCAAUGGGUCAUGUGAUUUCUGUAACUCAUGUAAUAGGUUCCAAUGGGUCAUGUGAUUUCUGUAACUCAUGUAAUAGGUCCCAAUGGGUCAUGUGCUUUCUGUAAUAUGUCAUUCUAUGUCUUUUUUUUUACUGUCUGAUAUUCCUAUUAAUUAUGUUAAUAUGUAUUCCUAUUCAUUAUAUACAUUUUAUAUAUAUUCAUUAUGUUAAUCUUUAUUUCUAUUUAUUAUGUAAAUGUUUUCUUCCUAUUCAUUAUGUGGAUUUUUAUUUAUAUUUUUGGUCUCUCUUGUCUCGAACAUAGUAGUAUUGUAGUAGUGUAGUACUGUAAUACUCUAGUACUCUAGUACUGUAAUACUCUAGUAGUCUAAUACUCUAGUACUGUAAUACUCUAGUACUGUAAUACUGUAGUACUGUAGUACUCUAGUACUGUGAUACUGUAAUACUGUAGUACUGUAAUACUGUAAUACUCCAGUACUGUAGUACUGUAAUACUGUAGUACUGUAAUACUGUAGUACUAUAAUACUGCAAUACUCUAGUACUGUAGUACUGUAAUACUCUACUACUGUAGAACUGUAGUAUUGUAAUACUGUAAUACUCUAGUACUGUAGUACAACAAUGUUGUAGUGUGUGGGUGUGUGUGCGUGCGUGUUCAUGCACUGAUCACGUUUUAGAAAAAACAAUCACGGUUGUAAAAAUUGACAUCAACUGCAAGCACAGUCAUUGGUUCCCUGAGAUUGCCCAAUAGGAAGCCGACCCAUGCUGCUACAAAAAAACUGAGCAAACUAGAAUGCUAUUUGGCCCUAAACAGAGAGUACACAGUGGCAGAAUACCUGACCACUGUGACUAACCCAAACUUAAGGAAAGCUUUGACUAUGUACUCAGUGAGCAUAGCCUUGCUAUUGAGAAAGGCCACCGCAGGCAGACAUGGCUCUCAAGAGAAGACAUGGUCUGUGCAACACUGCCCACAAAAUGAGGUGGAAACUGAGCUGCACUUCCUCUAACCUCCUGCCCAAUGUAUGACCAUAUGAGAGACACAUAUUUCCAUCAGAUUACACAGAUCCACACGAAUUAGAAAACAAACCCAAUUUUGAUAAACUCCCAUAUCUACUGGGUGAAAUUCCACAGUGUGCCAUAACAGCAGCAAGAUUUGUGACCUGUUGCAACCAGAAAAGGGCAACCAGUGAAGAACAAACACCAUUGUAAAUGCAACCCAUAUUUAUGCUUAUUUAUUUUCCCUUGUGUACUUUAACCAUUUGCACAUCGUUACAACACUGUAUAUAUAAUAUGACAUUUGAACUUUUGUGUAAUGCUUACUGUUAUUUUUUAUUGUUUAUUUCACUUUUGUUUAUUAUCUAUUUCACUUACUUUGGCAACGUUAACAUGUUUCCCAUGCCAAUAAAGCCUCUUGAAUUGAAAUUGAAAUUCAGAGAGAGACUUUUUGUCUUUCUUUAAUGAUAAUGAUACAUGCUCAUAUCAUUUCAUUAAAACCUCACCCCCCUUUAAAACAAAUAUCCCCUGUGAUGCAUCCUCACCUUGCCCUCUACCCCACGAUACAAAACAACACCACACAUCACAAUAACCAAAACCUCACCACUUCUACAACUGUAUAUCCAACCCAUCUUCCCUAGCUGUACAGACACCCCCUAUUCCCC
ensembl:lncRNA